UGCAGUCGAGCGGCAGCGCGUCCGACCACCCUCGGGCUGGUCGGAUGGCGGCGAGCGGCGGACGGGUGAGGAAUGCAUCGGAAUCUGCCUCGUUGUGGGGGAUAACGUAGGGAAACUUACGCUAAUACCGCAUACGACCUACGGGUGAAAGUGGGGGACCUUCGGGCCUCACGCGAUGAGAUGAGCCGAUGCCGGAUUAGCUAGUUGGCGGGGUAAAGGCCCACCAAGGCGACGAUCCGUAGCUGGUCUGAGAGGAUGAUCAGCCACACUGGGACUGAGACACGGUCCAGACUCCUACGGGAGGCAGCAGUGGGGAAUAUUGGACAAUGGGGGCAACCCUGAUCCAGCCAUGCCGCGUGUGUGAAGAAGGCCUUCGGGUUGUAAAGCACUUUUGUUGGGGAAGAAACCGGCCGGGUUAAUACCCUGGUUGAAUGACGGUACCCAAAGAAUAAGCACCGGCUAACUUCGUGCCAGCAGCCGCGGUAAUACGAAGGGUGCAAGCGUUACUCGGAAUUACUGGGCGUAAAGCGUGCGUAGGCGGUUUGUUAAGUCUGCUGUGAAAGCCCUGGGCUCAACCUGGGAACUGCAGUGGAUACUGGCGAGCUAGAGUGUGUCAGAGGAUGGUGGAAUUCCCGGUGUAGCGGUGAAAUGCGUAUAGAUCGGGAGGAACACCAGUGGCGAAGGCGGCCAUCUGGGACAACACUGACGCUGAGGCACGAAGCGUGGGGAGCAAACAGGAU
rnacentral:rRNA from 1 species